CCUACGGGUGGCAGCAGUGAGGAAUAUUGGUCAAUGGACGAGAGUCUGAACCAGCCAAGUAGCGUGAAGGAUGACUGCCCUAUGGGUUGUAAACUUCUUUUAUAUGGGAAUAAAAUGUUCCACGUGUGGGAUUUUGUAUGUACCAUAUGAUUACGAAUCGGCUAACUCCGUGCCAGCAGCCGCGGUAAUACGGAGGAUCCGCGCGUUAUCCGGAUUUAUUGGGUGUAAAGGGAGCGUAGGUGGAUUGUUAAGUCAGUUGUGAAAGUUUGCGGCUCAACCGUAAAAUUGCAGUUGAAACUGGCAGUCUUGAGUACAGUAGGGGUGGGCGGAAUUCGUGGUGUAGCGGUGAAAUGCUUAGAUAUCAUGAAGAACUCCGAUUGCGAAGGCAGUUCACUGGACUGCAACUGACACUGAGGCUCGAAAGUGUGGGUAUCAAACAGGAUUAGAUACCCCAGUAGUC
rnacentral:rRNA from 1 species